AGGAGCUGCACUAAUUGGGGGAGGGCUGUGACUUCCUAGGGGGAGGAAUGGUGUGUACUGAAGUAACAGACCUCUGUUGACCAAGGGACUGCAGUGGCAAAGCUAGGCUAGGUCUUGGAGGCUGGUGCAAGGCGAAGCGGGUGAAGGCAGGAGGCUGAUGGAGAGACUGGGGGGAAGAAAAGCCGAAAUGGAUUCACGGUGCCUUGGAUGGAGGACGAGAGGGGAAUUGCAGGCUCCUUCAACUCGUUCUGUCCGGUGAGAAGUGAUCAAGCUUGGGCUGACAAGAGGCUCAGGGAGCCCUCACGUUCUUUCGCUUUUUUACCUGCCAAUCAAACUGCUACAAGACAACACCCUGAUCUGGCAUGGACAUGUAAAAGCAAAACUGUAGUCUUGGAAAAGCGAAUUCACCAGUAGGGGGCGCACCAGCUACAUCCCUGAAACCAGACGCUCUGAAAAGCCUGGUGGCUGCGGUGUUGUCUUGUGAGCCUCUAACCUUUUCUCUUCCUGAUCCCCAUGUCCGUGUUUAGCUUAAUAUUACAUCUCGAAUAAACAGAAGACAUUAUUUUGUUUUAAAGAGUGCCAUAUUUUUAUCCGUUUCGAGAAGGCCAGUCGCACCCUUCCUGGGUUCCCAAGAACUAAAACAAACCGUAACUUACGAGAAGAAAAAAAAAAAAAAAAGGAAGAAAGAAACUGUUGGGGGAGGGGAGGUUGAUUGGAAAUAAUAAUUUAUAAAGAAAAGUCUACAGGAAUCUUUUUCUCAACUUUUCUGGCUUUCCAGUGAGCAUGCCUAUUUGGAGUUUGACAGGAACAGAAAAGCCCCUGAGGGCAGGGAUUGGAGAAGUUGGAGUGGGGGUAGUGAUGGUUAUGGGAAGAAGGCUAGUAAGGAACAAAACAAUGCAAAGUUUUGUAAAGAUAAUAAAUGGAACGUGGCCGACAGAUACUAUUCAGUACAUUUUCUUAGGGUGAGUAAGGGUAUAUGGAUCAGGGAAGGAGGGGGGCGGAGAGAGUGUUACAGAAGAAAGAAAAUAAGUAACCCUCAUGGUUUAAGCCCUUUAUAAAAAAGAAAUGGCAUCAGGAU
rnacentral:lncRNA from 1 species